AACCUAUUUGUAUUCAGCUAAAUUCAGCAGAACUAGAUAACUUCAGCGCUAGGCUAAACACUGAAGCUAAUGACUGUCUCAGAACAAUAAUGCAGUACGAAAGAGCACUGGAAGACCACAUGAUGUCCAUAUCAGAUAAUAUGAGCUACCACAAAAUCGGUGAGUCCAACAAUUACAGCAGGUUAUGGAGCAGCUGCUCAGAGAGACGUCCCUGAAGUCUGGUGAAAACAAAGGGUAUCUACUUACGAAGCAGGCUGCUCUUCCUGCAGAGCAGCCAGUGAAUCACCCACUGACACAUGAGCACCGGGGCCAGAAUGUCAGGUGCUGUUUCAUCAGCUGCCCUUUCGCAACCACUGAGGAACGGGUCAGUAGCCACAAACCUGAUUGCCUGCCUGCCAGCCUACAGAACUCACACCCUCAGACACCCUUCCUCCUGCAAAGGUGGGAACAGAUGCAAUGCUCUCAGAGGGUGAUGGUGUCCAGAAAAAACAGAAGUAGAGGCUUCCCUGAAAUAUUGUUAUUCACAGAAUUUAGCAAUGUAUUAUACAGCUAUUUCGUUUGUACAGAAUGCCUUCUUCAUGUCCUUUCUUUCCCCUUUUAAUUAGAAAAGCGCUGUCAAUUUUAAAAAUACAAAGUACAAUAAAACUCUUGUUAUUAAGUAUGUUUAUUCUUUGUACUGACCUCCAACGCUUUAUGUUGUCAGCCUUUUAUCUUUACGUGUGUGUUAUUUUUUAGAAAUACUGUUUCUUCAAUGGUAUAAUCUGGAGAAGGUUCCUACUGUACUACUCCAUAUUGAUUACUUCUAUGUAAGCAGUAGGUUUUACAGAGUAGUUGAUGUUCUGCUGGCAAAGAUCAAGUCAUUAUGUUGUUGCCAGUCAAUUACUAUUUUCCUGAAUAUUGGGGACCUUCCUGUACCUGUGGCCAGUCAUGCUCUGUUAUUAUUUUAUUAUAUUUAUGUUAAAUUACUAAAAUAUUUGUUUAUUCAACAGAAAAACAUUAUUUUUUAUUGCACUGUGUGUUGUUAGGAUGCUGUAAUAGGUUGAAAUAUCAUAAUUGUUCUCUGGUUCAACAUGCCACACAUACUGUACAUAGAUAACCCAAAGCAUGUUAAAUUAAGUCUUUAAUAUUGCUGUGAGUAUAAAUCAACAAACCAAGCCAAGCCAAACCAGAUUGAAAAAGCCUACAUUUACAGAGGCCCAUGUCAGAUACAUUUUACAUCUUUGUUCUGCUGAAUGUAGUCUAUAGUAUAGUGCAGUAAUUUCAUCUGACACACAUGAAAUGAUUUACUUCACCGACCUCCUCCAUAAAGUGUUUUUACUGCUUAUUUCCUCCAGAAAAAAAGAGAAAACAAACAACAAAUGAGCAAAUAUCAACAAAUCAUCUCAUUUAUUACACUUUUCUGACUACAGGGUAAGGAACCAAACCCAGAUCUGCAGGAAGUUAAAAUCCCACUUUUUAAAAAUGUCUUCAUCCUGCAUGCUCCUUUCUCAGAGAAAUUAUUCUUUUUACUUAUUUUGCUUUUGUAAGAUGGGAUAAAAAAAUAAAAUAUUCUUGCUAUAAUUUGGAAUAAUAAUAAAAACAACAAAGGUUCCUCUUUCAGUCCUCUGGAUGUCCUUUUUCUACCACAUAUGAACAGUCACUCCAAAAGCAAUAAUCUUUAAAGUACUGUAAAUCACAACCCCAGGAUUAGUGCUUUGUUAUAACAGAGGCUUGCAGUAUGAGAUUUAAUUUUUCAUGUUGUGUUUGUCCGCUUACCUUAGUUUUAAUCAUAACACUUUCCAUCAUAUGAUCAGGUUGCUAAAUAAAAAAGCACAGUGAAAUCUGAAACUAUGGCAGCUGAAUAAGAGACUUGCUAUAGUCCUGAAAUAUACUCUACUUAUAUUUUGUUUUAUUAUUUCCAUUAUUUAUUCAUGUGUCCAUUGAAUUAUAUCUCUGUCAAGGCAUUUCAAAGGUAUUUCAUAAGCAGGCGUAGCAAAUUGUU
rnacentral:lncRNA from 1 species